GCUUUCAAUGAGUACAUAAGCUCUCCCUCCACAGUGGUGCAUCACAACUUCAGCAGUUCUUCCAUAGAGUUUGUGGUUGCCAGUAUAGUGCCCGAGCCAGCUCAGGGAGGGUUGGAGUCUGGCUUGAGGAUUCUUCUGAAGCAGCUGACUGGCUGGCUUUUAUUGCAAGACAGAGAACACAAGAUCUCUUCAUUGACCCAGCAAGGUGGCUGUAGUAUUUUGCCUUGAAAGACUGGAAGUUCCCUCCAUGAGAACCUGGGAGGACAAGGAUGGCCUCCUGUGCUGUUCUGCAGAGAGGAGCAGCCUUCGAUGGUGAGCAAAGAAGCAGUACCGCAGUCCCCUCUCGGGAGCAGCACCUGGCUCUAGAAUGCUGCCAUGAAUGUCUUCAACUCUCUGCAUUGAGGAGCCCCGGAAGGGGCAGAGAGAAGAACUAGCACAGGCCCAGCCCUGGCAGCAGCACGAUCAUCUAGAAUGCCAGAAACCAGCUCUGCUCCUCCCUGCCACUGUUAAUAUGUAUUUUAACUGGAAGUGUUUAGAUCUCUCUCUUGUGGCACACAUACCAUGGACGUAACCUUGGUCUCUUUUGCAGGAGCAGGCUUUGAAGGGGUUGAAAGAAGCAAGACCACGGUGCCUCCCUCAGCAGCUCUCUCUCUCUCUCUCUCUCUCUCUCUCUCUCUCUCUCUCUCUGGCAGUCGGCUCCUGGUGUUCUGCAGGGCAGCCUUGGAAGUGAUGGGAAGAAUUCGUGUGGUCCAUGAUGAAGGAAAACCAGGUUCUGGCUGGUCCAGGCCUGUGCACGUCGAUAGUUGGCAAUAAAUGUAAGUGCUGUUAUGAAUGUAAUAACCAUUUUUGGGUUAUGCCUUUUGCACACAUUUAGUAUGCUGCUGUAUCGAGUGAGAUGGUGAACUAGUUCUCUGAAUGGCCACUGAUGCCAAACACAAAUUAUCACUUGUGUUUCUGGGUUGAGGGACACUUCACACCAUCACAGCCCGAUCUGCCAGCUGAUAGGCUAAGUGUCUGGUUGUUUCCGGCUGGUGAACCGCAUGGAGCCUCGGCCUACUUGUCAGUCUUGGGGAACACCACAGAGUGACGAUAGGUGGAAAUCAAAGUGUCCAGGGACAGACUCUCCAGUUGGAUUUGUGUGCCAAUGCUAUGGCACUUGAUCUACCCAGUACAUGCAGAAGUGGAGCCAUAUGGUUUAGUUUCCUAGCACUGGAAGCUUUGAUCCUAAGAUGCUGUUGCACCUCAGGAGCUAUCUGCACCUGAAUCUCCCAAGACAAAUGGAUGUCUGGUACCUGUCGGAUGAGGAGGCGGGCAGCGGUGAAGGGGGUGAUCAGGAUGGCAACCGCACUUGCUACGCCACAGCUCUUGGUGACUCUGCUUCUCUCUGCACAGGCCCUGCCCUCUUUGCCCACGCUGGUGCACUCUUUUCCUUCUGUCAUGGGGCUGCAGCUGGCCAGGGAAUUGGUACCAAAGGUUUGCCUCUCCCUGUGAUUUGUUGGAUGGGUGGCACGUUGUCCUCACCACCACCACCACAAACCAAUAAAUCCUAACCUGCAACUUCAGCCUGUUCAGUCUAGGCAGCUUGUUCAGCCAGCCCCUUGGACUCCCUCAGCCAGGAGUGAAGCAUAAGGCCACCCUGCUGCCAUCUGCCUUGACCCUCAUGCUGGGUCUCCCCCUCUUUGACUUUGAAGACUCCCUCUGAAGAAUAUGGCUACAAGCUCAUCUUUUUCCUCAAAGAAAAAUCUGUGUCUUCCAAAGCGAGACACUCUUUCUUAGUGAAAAAACUGCUCCGGCCCCUCUCUUUGGAUCCGGGAGCCCAGCUCUGUAACUGGAUACCAGCGCAUACCAAGAAAAAACUCAGCCAGUCAGAACAACUGGGGUAGUGGUGAGCACCAGCUCGCAGCUUACAGCAGGGGGCACAUCCAUGCAGCUUGGGAGGAGCUUCAGUCGGACAAAGAAGCAGGCCAAGAACGGAGUGAGGCGGCGAAGGCUAAGUUCUGUCCCCAGGCUAACCAGCCAUGAGCUCAAACGGUUGCCAUUAUUGUGACCAGCCAGUUCACAGGGGAAACAAAGGAGAGGAAAAGGAGUGCCCAUGAUGUCCAUCAGCCAUGGGGCCUCGGCGCAGUGGCCAGCUGUGAUGAAAACUCCUAGGGCCCCAAAUGUUAACUCAGCUGAGCACUUUUGGAACUGGCUUCUUGUUGGUUGUCUGUGUCUUGUUCUGUAAAGGGAAAUGUUGUUGAUCCUCCAGUAAAUAUUGGCACAGUAUGUUUGACUGAAUGUUACUGACAAUGCAGUGAGAAAGGUCCAUAGUACCUCACAGUCUCACAACCCGCCUCUGCGUAGGUUGGGCUCUUGUAUGUGAAAAUGUGUUUGUAAUGUGACAGCACUUCUGUAAACCUUUUGGGAAAGGACUUGCUCUGCAAAUUGAACACCAUUAUUCACAAUUAUCUGUGGACAUCCUAUACCAUAAAAGCCUUAAGCGUGCAGCCGUGCUGCCCGUGUCUUUUUGGGCCAUUCUGGGCAUGCGCGGAGGGCCUCCUUCUUUGUGGGCCUCUCCUGAAGAAAAAGGGAGCGCUGCUUAUGGCUGGACCAGAUACAUUACCCCUAAGAAGGGCAAGCUCUACUUUUCCCCCUCAUGGUAUCAAAUUUAUUGUGGUGUUUCUGCAGCUGUCUUUGCUACUGCUAAUAUGAUUUUCCACUACAGUAUGGACGAUGUUUCUGAUAUUGCAUUUCUGUUUUGGUGCUACAUCCAGGAGGCCCACAGGUGGCAUCAGGCUGAGAGAACAGUGUGAACAACACAAUGCUCCACCCCUUGGGUUUCUAGUUGGGAGCUGUAAAGCCACAUGUCUUUGUCUAAGCCUCUAUAUGCUUUGCUUUCUGAGUCUGAGCAGAAAGAAGACGUGAUGGAAUCCCAGUCUUGGGAGCAGCAGGAUCAGCUAGACUGCUGGAAAGCUCCUCCCUGCUGGUGGUGAUGGUAAGGAUUUCUACAGGUAGUGUUUGGUCUUCACUGUUGUGACAUGAGCAUUGUAGACAUCUGUUUUGCAGGAGCAGGCUCUGAAGGUGUGGAAAGAAGCAGUACAAGGGUCUCAAUCAGUAGGGGCAUCUUCUCUGUGCCCGAUGUUGCAGAGGAGCAGCUGCAGAAGUGGCAGAAACGAUCGGUGCAGCCUCAGCCUCAGGUGCAACACGAUUCUCGGACACAAGAAACCUCUGUGACUGGUGGCAGACAUGCUUGACGUUUGGAUCUUGUCACGAACCCAGCUCUGACCGAGAUGACUCACAGGCCAGCGUGGACGCCCUCAAAAACCCCUUGCCUGUGUUGUAGCUGGCUCUGUAUUGAGGCUUCUCUUCGCCUGCACUGUUGGCAGAAGCACCUUGCAGGAUGUCUUUCUUCCCAUUCCUGUCCCCUGCUCUAGGAUGUCUCCGCUCCUGACACUUGAACUCUGACUUUGCCUGCUUCGAAUGGACUGACACUUUCCUUCAGCCUCGCACCCCUCUUGCCCAGCCGGGACAGCCAGAAGACGGACACUGCUCAGCCUUGGCUCUGCUGCCUUGGUCAGCAUUGUGGUCUUCCUUUCCUGAGUACCUGAUAAUCUGCCUCUCCGGCCACUAACUACAUCAGUGUUGUCUUGGAGUCUCCUGUGAGAGGAGAGACGCUGUGCCCCUGGGGCUUAUAAAGAGGGAGGGUGUGCCCCCAAGAGGCACACUGGAUCUAGUCUUCCACCAAGUGAGAGUACCUGUGACUCUAUCCAUCACCUGCCCUGCCUAGCAUCCCCCCCCCCCGGUCUGAGGAAGCACCAGCUGCCACUGAGGGAUGGGCCUUGUCUGGGGCUACGCUGAGACUCUGGAAUCCAUUCCCUGCAGAAAUCAGAGCCUCCCCAUCUCAGACUACUUAAGACAUUGGACACAUUUCUUCACCCAAGCUUUUAAAGUAGAUGUGGCUUUAACUUCCUGGUCUUUGACUGUAAUAAAGAUGUGUAUCUGAA